rnacentral:rRNA from 1 species
GAACGCUGGCGGCGUGGAUAAGACAUGCAAGUCGAACGGGAUAAUCUUGUAGCAAUACCGGGUUGUUCCCUGGCGAACGGGUGCGUAACACGUGGAUUACAUACCGGAAAGCGAGGAAUAGCCCAGGGAAACUUGGAUUAAUACCUCAUGUGGUCGCAAGACUAAAGGCGGGGCAACCUGUCGCUUUCUGAUUGGUGCC